GUUCCAUAAUCGCUGAAUUCUGAUAAGGAACGGGGGAACCAAAGACGCAGCCAUUCCAAAAAAUGGUGAUCGUACGGGGUGAAUCCCACUUGCAAAAAGCUUUGUUUGCAAUGGGGUAGGGCAAUCUCGCUGCCCGAAUCCGACAGCUAACCUCGUAAGCGUAGAAUGAGAGAGGAU
rnacentral:sRNA from 1 species